UACAGAGGGUGCGAGCGUUAAUCGGAAUUACUGGGCGUAAAGCGCGCGUAGGCGGCUUUGCAAGUCGGGUGUGAAAUCCCCAGGCUUAACCUGGGGACUGCAUUCGAGACUGCAUUGCUAGAGUAUGGGAGAGGGAGGUGGAAUUUCCGGUGUAGCGGUGAAAUGUGUAGAGAUCGGGAGGAACACCGGUGGCGAAGGCGGGUCUCUGGGCAAUUCCUGACGCUGAGGCGCGAAGGCCAGGGGAGCAAACGGG
rnacentral:rRNA from 1 species